AAGUCAUUUUACAGGCUGCCGGCGGUUAUAACACACCAGGGUGAAGCAACACAUGAACUUUCAAAGCGUCGCCGGGAAAAAUGGCUCAAUAGGAUCGGACGGGAGGAUCUCAAACCAUCCAACCACAACUAUACUCGCGUUUGUGGGGAUCAUUUCACGUCAGGUAAACCAGUGGCACUUUUUGACAAAAAUCAUCCUGACUGGGCACCGUCUGUCAAAUUGGGCCACGA